rnacentral:tRNA from 1 species
GGUUGUUCCCUGGGGGCGGCUUGUCUUGAAAACAAACUAAAAGUGUUCGAUUCACUUCACAACCU